rnacentral:rRNA from 1 species
CGGUUGAUUGAUUGAGUGGAAAGCGGCGGACGGGUGGAGUAACGCGUAGGCAACCUGCCCCUUGCAGAGGGAUAGCCUCGGGAAACCGGGAUUAAAACCUCAUAAUGCAGGAGCGAGACAUCUCGCACCUGCCAAAGAUUUAUCGGCAGGGGAUGGGCCUGCGUCUGAUUAGUUAGUUGGUGGGGUAACGGCCUACCAAGGCAGCGAUCAGUAGCCGACCUGAGAGGGUGAUCGGCCACAUUGAAACUGAGACACGGUCCAAACUCCUACGGGAGGCAGCAGUGGGGAAUAUUGCACAAUGGGGGAAACCCUGAUGCAGCAACGCCACGUGUGGGAAGAAGCAUUUCGGUGUGUAAACCACUGUCAUGAGGGAAUAAGGCCCGCCUUCGGACGGGAUUGAAUGUACCUUGAGAGGAAGCACCGGCAAACUUCGUGCCAGCCGCCGC